rnacentral:tRNA from 1 species
GCGCCAAUAGCUCAGCUGGAUAGAGCGACUGCCUUCUAAGCAGUAGGUCGCAGGUUCGAGUCCUGCUUGGCGCA